AGGGACUUAGGAUAGAACUAAGACCAAAAGCCUUCAAAGCUUUAAGCAGGAGUGGAAAUCUCCUAGUCCCUG
rnacentral:tRNA from 1 species